rnacentral:rRNA from 1 species
GAUGAACGCUGGCGGCGUGCCUAAUACAUGCAAGUCGAGCGAACAGACGAGGAGCUUGCUCCUCUGACGUUAGCGGCGGACGGGUGAGUAACACGUGGAUAACCUACCUAUAAGACUGGGAUAACUUCGGGAAACCGGAGCUAAUACCGGAUAAUAUAUUGAACCGCAUGGUUCAAUAGUGAAAGACGGUUUUGCUGUCACUUAUAGAUGGAUCCGCGCCGCAUUAGCUAGUUGGUAAGGUAACGGCUUACCAAGGCAACGAUGCGUAGCCGACCUGAGAGGGUGAUCGGCCACAUGGGAACUGAGACACGGUCCAGACUCCUACGGGAGGCAGCAGUAGGGAAUCUUCCGCAAUGGGCGAAAGCCUGACGGAGCAACGCCGCGUGAGUGAUGAAGGUCUUCGGAUCGUAAAACUCUGUUAUUAGGGAAGAACAAAUGUGUAAGUAACUAUGCACGUCUUGACGGUACCUAAUCAGAAAGCCACGGCUAACUACGUG